rnacentral:rRNA from 1 species
UAGGGAAUAUUGGACAAUGGGGGAAACCCUGAUCCAGGCAUGCCGCGUGUGUGAAGAAGGCCUUAGGGUUGUAAAGCACUUUAAGUGAGGAAGAAAAGAUUUGAAUUAAUACUUUAAGUCCCUGACAUUACUCACAGAAUAAGGACCGGCUAACUCCGUGCCAGCAGCCGCGGUAAUACGGAGGGUCCAAGCGUUAAUCGGAAUUACUGGGCGUAAAGCGCGCGUAGAUGGUUUAUUCAGUUGGGUGUGAAAUCCCUGGGCUCAACCUAGGAACUGCAUUCAAAACUUAUAAACUAGAGUACGAAAGAGGAGAGUAGAAUUCAUGGUGUAGCGGUGAAAUGCGUAGAGAU